UGCGUCGACGGCAGGCCUAAGAUAUGGGGUGCGAACGGACCCUUCGGGGUUAGUGGGGGACGGGUGAGUAACACGUGGGAACGUGCCUUUAGGUUCGGAAUAGCUCCUGGAAACGGGUGGUAAUGCCGAAUGUGCCCUUCGGGGGAAAGAUUUAUCGCCUUUAGAGCGGCCCGCGUCUGAUUAGCUAGUUGGUGAGGUAAUGGCUCACCAAGGCGACGAUCAGUAGCUGGUCUGAGAGGAUGACCAGCCACAUUGGGACUGAGACACGGCCCAAACUCCUACGGGAGGCAGCAGUGGGGAAUCUUGCGCAAUGGGCGAAAGCCUGACGCAGCCAUGCCGCGUGAAUGAUGAAGGUCUUAGGAUUGUAAAAUUCUUUCACCGGGGACGAUAAUGACGGUACCCGGAGAAGAAGCCCCGGCUAACUUCGUGCCAGCAGCCGCGGUAAUACGAAGGGGGCUAGCGUUGCUCGGAAUUACUGGGCGUAAAGGGCGCGUAGGCGGAUCGUUAAGUCAGAGGUGAAAUCCCGGAGCUCAACUUCGGAACUGCCUUUGAUACUGGCGAUCUUGAGUGUGAGAGAGGUAUGUGGAACUCCGAGUGUAGAGGUGAAAUUCGUAGAUAUUCGGAAGAACACCAGUGGCGAAAGCGACAUACUGGCUCAUUACUGACGCUGAGGCGCGAAAGCGUGGGGAGCAAACAGGAUUAGAUACCCUGGUAGUCCACGCCGUAAACGAUGAUUGCUAGUUGUCGGGGCUGCAUGCAGUUCGGUGACGCAGCUAACGCAUUAAGCAAUCCGCCUGGGGAGUACGGUCGCAGAUUAAAACUCAAAGGAAUUGACGGCGGCCCGCACAGCGGUGGAGCAUGUGGUUUAAUUCGAGCACGCGCAGANCUUACCACUUUUUGACAUGCCUGGACGGCUANGAGAUGUG
rnacentral:rRNA from 1 species